rnacentral:misc_RNA from 1 species
GCUGCUGUCGAAGUUCCAUCUACAAAUGGAUAAUACUUUUGUUUUAGUGUAUACGAGUCGUUGAAAGAUCAAUACCAAACUUCUUAAUACAACAAGAAGUUUGGUAUUGAUCCAUUUGAUUCAGUAGUGUUUUAUUCACAUAAUCGUUUUUCACUUUCAUUUCUUUUAUUCAACUUAUGGAAACACUGGUUAUUUCAUGAUCGAAUAUCAUAGUUUCUUUUGUACCAACCUGUAAUUUAUAUACUACCAUUCUGAUUCUUCAAAAUCAUUUGAUUUUAGGAAAAAAUCAAAUGAUUUUUCUUAUUUUAUGGAUUGGCAUUUUCUGUACAAUAUCUGUAUUUCAGUAGGAAGGAGAGUGAAGUAAUAGUCAUAAAGACUAAAUAAAAAAAUAAUGAAUGGCGAAAAUGGAAUCCUUUUGAGAGGGGAGGGGCGGAUGUAGCCAAGUGGAUCAAGGCAGUGGAUUUGUGAAU